rnacentral:misc_RNA from 1 species
AACACUGUUAACCUGCGGUACCUGCGGAGGGAUCAUUACAGAGUUGCAAAACUCCCUAAACCAUUGUGAACGUUACCUAAACCGUUGCUUCGGCGGGCGGCCCGGGUCCUUCCCGGCGCCCCUCGGCCCUCGCGGGCGCCCGCCGGAGGUAAACCAAACUAUUGCAUUGUAUGGCCUCUCUGAGUCUUCUGUACUGAAUAAGUCAAAACUUUUAACAAUGGAUCUCAGAUCGGAAGAGCA